GCAUAUCAAUAAGCGGAGGAAAAGAAACCAACAGGGAUUGCCCUAGUAACGGCGAGUGAAGCGGCAACAGCUCAAAUUUGAAAUCUGGCCCUCGGGUCCGAGUUGUAAUUUGUAGAGGAUGUUUUUGGUGAGGUACCUUCCGAGUUCCCUGGAACGGGACGCCAUAGAGGGUGAGAGCCCCGUCUGGUUGGAUACCGAUCCUCUGUAAAACUCCUUCAACGAGUCGAGUAGUUUGGGAAUGCUGCUCUAAAUGGGAGGUAUAUGUCUUCUAAAGCUAAAUAUUGGCCAGAGACCGAUAGCGCACAAGUAGAGUGAUCGAAAGAUGAAAAGCACUUUGAAAAGAGAGUUAAAAAGUACGUGAAAUUGUUGAAAGGGAAGCGCUUAUGACCAGACUUGGACUUGGUUGAUCAUCCUGGGUUCUCCCUGGUGCACUCUUCCAGUUCAGGCCAGCAUCAGUUCAUCGCGGGGGAUAAAGGCUUCGGGAAUGUGGCUCCCUCGGGAGUGUUAUAGCCCGUUGUGUAAUACCCUGCUUUGGACUGAGGUUCGCGCAUCUGCAAGGAUGCUGGCGUAAUGGUCAUCAGCGACCCGUCUUGAAACACGGACCAAGGAGUCGUCUUCGUAUGCGAGUGUUCGGGUGUUAAACCCCUACGCGUAAUGAAAGUGAACGCAGGUGAGAGCUUCGGCGCAUCAUCGACCGAUCCUGAUGUUCUCGGAUGGAUUUGAGUAAGAGCAUACGGGGCCGGACCCGAAAGAAGGUGAACUAUGCUUGUAUAGGGUGAAGCCAGAGGAAACUCUGGUGGAGGCUCGCAGCGGUUCUGACGUGCAAAUCGAUCGUCAAAUAUGAGCAUGGGGGCGAAAGACUAAUCGAACCUUCUAGUAGCUGGUUUCCGCCGA
rnacentral:rRNA from 1 species